UGUUCUCUUCAGCAGCACAUCACUAAAAUAGGGGUGAUACAGAGAAGAUUAGCGUGGCCCCCACACAGGAUAGCACAUAGAUUUGGGAAGCGUUCUAUUUUUUC